rnacentral:hammerhead_ribozyme from 1 species
AUCAGAUGACGAGUCCUAAAAAGGACGAAUUACGCGUCCUGGAU